GGGGUUGUGGCUCAGUGGUAGAGCGCUCACCUAGCACGUGUGAGGCACUGAGUUCGAUUCUCAGCACCACA
rnacentral:tRNA from 1 species